rnacentral:rRNA from 1 species
AGCAGUCGCCGCGGGAAUACGUAGGUGGCAAGCGUUGUCCGGAAUUAUUGGGCGUAAAGCGCGCGCAGGCGGAUCAGUCAGUCUGUCUUAAAAGUUCGGGGCUUAACCCCGUGAGGGGAUGGAAACUGCUGAUCUAGAGUAUCGGAGAGGAAAGUGGAACUCCUAGUGUAGCGGUGAAAUGCGUAGAUAUUCGGAGGAACACCAGUGGCGAAGGCGGCUCACUGGCCCGAUACUGACGCUGAGGCACGAAAGCGUGGGGAGCAAACAGGAUUAGAUACCCCCGUAGUCCCUGUCUCUUAUACA